rnacentral:rRNA from 1 species
GAUGAACGCUGGCGGCGUGCCUAAUACAUGCAAGUCGAGCGAACGGACGAGAAGCUUGCUUCUCUGAUGUUAGCGGCGGACGGGUGAGUAACACGUGGAUAACCUACCUAUAAGACUGGGAUAACUUCGGGAAACCGGAGCUAAUACCGGAUAAUAUUUUGAACCGCAUGGUUCAAAAGUGAAAGACGGUCUUGCUGUCACUUAUAGAUGGAUCCGCGCUGCAUUAGCUAGUUGUUAAGGUAACGGCUUACCAAGGCAACGAUGCAUAGCCGACCUGAGAGGGGGAUCGGCCACACGGGAACUGAGACACGGUCCAGACUCCUACGGGAGGCAGCAGUAGGGAAUCGUCCGCAAUGGGCGAAAGCCUGACGGAGCAACGCCGCGUGAGUGAUGAAGGUCUUCGGAUCGUAAAACUCUGUUAUUAGGGAAGAACAGAUGUGUAAGUAACUGUGCACAUCUUGACGGUACCUAAUCAGAAAGCCACGGCUAACUACGUG